rnacentral:rRNA from 1 species
CAGUAGCCGCGGUAAUACGAAGGGUGCAAGCGUUACUCGGAAUUACUGGGCGUAAAGCGUGCGUAGGUGGUGGUUUAAGUCCGUUGUGAAAGCCCUGGGCUCAACCUGGGAAUUGCAGUGGAUACUGGGUCACUAGAGUGUGGUAGAGGAUAGUGGAAUUUCCGGUGUAGCAGUGAAGUGCGUAGAGAUCGGAAGGAACAUCUGUGGCGAAGGCGACUAUCUGGGCCAACACUGACACUGAGGCACGAAAGCGUGGGGAGCAAACAGGAUUAGAUACCCCCGUAGUCCCUGUCUCUUAUAC